rnacentral:misc_RNA from 1 species
AUAAAAUCAAGCGAUUGCCGGUGAUAUGAAAUUCGGGAAAGAAUUCAGCAUCCAUUUGGAAGAAACCCUACCUGAAUGGAGGGAUAAAUACUUGUGUUACAAGCCGUUGAAGAAGCUUAUCAAGCACAUCCCUUCUUCCACCGCCGAUAAUACACCUCCGUUACCGCCGCUGCCGCCGGCGACGGCAGCCGCGACGGAGCUACAGGAUUGGUUUAUCAGAAUUCUCAAUGAGGAACUCGACAAGUUCAACGAUUUCUACGUGGAUAAAGAAGAAGACUUCAUUAUCCGUUUCCAGGAACUGAAGGAAAGAAUUGAACGUGUGAAGGAGAAGAGCGACAAAGAUGGAGUUCUUGCAACAAACAAUGAAUUCAGUGAAGAAAUGAUGAACAUCCGUAAAGACUUUGUUUCCAUACACGGGGAGAUGGUUCUUCUGAAAAAUUAUAGCUCAUUAAAUUUUGCAGGACUUGUUAAGAUAUUGAAGAAGUAUGACAAACGAACUGGGGGAUUGUUGCGUCUUCCUUUUACACAAGUCGCACUUCAUCAGCCAAUCUUUACUACGGAACCUCUGACGAGAUUAGUCCAUGAGUGUGAGGCUAAUCUUGAG